CCUACGGGGGGCAGCAGUGGGGAAUAUUGGACAAUGGGGGCAACCCUGAUCCAGCCAUGCCGCGUGUGUGAAGAAGGCCCUCGGGUUGUAAAGCACUUUCAGUGAGGAAGAACGCCUGGUGGUUAAUACCCAUCAGGAAAGACAUCACUCACAGAAGAAGCACCGGCUAACUCCGUGCCAGCAGCCGCGGUAAUACGGAGGGUGCGAGCGUUAAUCGGAAUUACUGGGCGUAAAGCGCGCAGGUGGCUUGAUAAGCCGGUUGUGAAAGCCCCGGGCUCAACCUGGGAACGGCAUCCGGAACUGUCAAGCUAGAGUGCAGGAGAGGAAGGUAGAAUUCCCGGUGUAGCGGUGAAAUGCGUAGAGAUCGGGAGGAAUACCAGUGGCGAAGGCGGCCUUCUGGACUGACACUGACACUGAGGUGCGAAAGCGUGGGUAGCAAACAGGAUUAGAUACCCUAGUAGUC
rnacentral:rRNA from 1 species